rnacentral:tRNA from 1 species
GCCGGCUUAGCUCAGCUGGUAGAGCAGCGGUUUUGUAAACCGAAGGUCACGGGUUCGAUCCCUGUAGCCGGCACCA